GCGUGCAUCUGCAGCAGGCGGCCGAUCCGCUCCUUACGCGAGCGGUUCGGCACGUAGACCUGGUCGCCCGAGUUCAGCGUGCCCGAGUAGACGCG
rnacentral:tRNA from 1 species